UGAGGAAUAUUGGUCAAUGGACGCAAGUCUGAACCAGCCAUGCCGCGUGGAGGAUGAAGGCCUUCUGGGUUGUAAACUUCUUUUAUUAGGGAAGAAAAGCACGGUUUCUACUGUGUCCGACGGUACCUAAGGAAUAAGCACCGGCUAACUCCGUGCCAGCAGCCGCGGUAAUACGGAGGGUGCAAGCGUUAUCCGGAUUCACUGGGUUUAAAGGGUGUGUAGGCGGGCUGUUAAGUCAGUGGUGAAAUCUCCGGGCUCAACCCGGAAACUGCCAUUGAUACUAUCAGUCUUGAAUCUUGUUGAGGUAGGCGGAAUAUAUCAUGUAGCGGUGAAAUGCUUAGAUAUGAUAUAGAACACCGAUUGCGAAGGCAGCUUACUAAACAAGCAUUGACGCUGAGGCACGAAAGCGUGGGGAUCAAACAGG
rnacentral:rRNA from 1 species